rnacentral:rRNA from 1 species
UACGUAGGGUGCAAGCGUUAAUCGGAAUUACUGGGCGUAAAGCGUGCGCAGGCGGUUGGGCAAGACAGAUGUGAAAUCCCCGGGCUUAACCUGGGAACUGCGCUUCUAACUGGCAGGCUAGAGUGUGGCAGAGGGGGGUGGAAUUCCACGUGUAGCAGUGAAAUGCGUAGAGAUGUGGAGGAACACCGAUGGCGAAGGCAGCCCCCUGGGCUAACACUGACGCUCAUGCACGAAAGCGUGGGGAGCAAACAGG